GUCAUAAAGAUAAUCCAAUUGUAUCUCAUGAGUAAGAAAAAAAGGGCCCCUCACUCAGAUGAUCCAUCUAGCAUCUCUCCAAUUCCACUAGGAAGCCGCCAAUACAUUAGGCUUAGCUGCAAUAGAAAAUAACUCAUUGAAUAGAGAAGCAAGAGGAAGAGGGCCUAACCAAGAAUACUCCCAAAAAUGUAUGUUUUCUAUGCUUCCAAC
rnacentral:lncRNA from 1 species